AUGCGUCCAGCUUACAUCGAGCAACAACAAUGGCCGCCCCCUGUUCCAGUGCAGAUUGCUGUGAACAACACUGCUCUGUUCGAUGGCAUAGCUCAUGGCUGUAUCUAUGGUGAUUCUGGACAUGUGUGGUGCCCACCGGAUCACCAGCCAAGGGUGAAGAGUGAAUUGCAACUGCAGAUGGUAAAUGGACAAGGAUCUCUCAUUUUGCAAGACAAGUGUAUCAAGGUCGAGUUGCGUCCGCUACCGUGGCCAUCGUUUUCAAGCAGUUGCAGAGCAGUACAUGUGUGGUCUGAACUAUCCAAGUCUGUCCGUAAGCAGGAUACACUACAGAUUAUGAGCAUGUCAGUACAAUGGAAAAUUUGGAGUCAAGAGGAAUAUAAGGCAAACCUUGGUUUCACAUUGGACAAGACUGUUAUAACCAGCCUUCAAAUUUGCCAUCCAGAGUAUGGUACAAAAUCUGUCUGCGUAAACAGAGUUAUAUUUCUCAACACUAGUCUCAACUCUGGAUUUCCUGAUGUUUGGCUAGUUUGCAAUCUGGAUGCCAUGGUGCUUAAGUGUGAUGAACUACCUCAUGUUAGUGAAAUGGCAUGCUUGGAGUCCACCAACUUUGCUACCUAUAUGGACCAUCCGCUAUCCACCUCUUCUGAUAUCAAUUACACUGGUUUUUUCUACACAAGUGCAACUGUAACAUACCUGAAGCUGCAGCUUAUUGUCCUUCCCAGAGAGUCACUUCAGCAACAAGUGAUUAAGGUCCUUCAGUUGGUACAACUUCAUCGCAAGGAACAGUGGUCAUUGUUAGCAGAUUGGGGCACUUUGGAUUUCAGUUAUGUGAUCUUGCAUAUUCACCACACUAGUAUUGUCGAUUCAGCACUUCACUGGGAGAUUUGUCGACAAACAAACAUAGUAAUGGCUACCAACUUCAGUGAAAGUUAUCAUGUGCAACCAGCUGCCGCAACUAAUAAAUUGCAAUCCACGGAACUUCUCUGUUUUAUGUUACCCCCUGCCAAGCCUCCUGAGAAUCAUGACAUAAAUAUUCUUAUUUUGGUGGAAAUUCCACGUGGGAUCUUAGUUGGUCUGUACUCUAUGAGUUGUCCAAUCUAUCUAGAAAUUUGCACCGUGGGAUUAAGAGCUUCAGAAGGAACACAAAAGGGAAAAGUUGAACUUUGUGUCCAUCUUUAUGCUUCCUAUGAGUUUUAUUUGAAGAAGUUUGCACUAGCAGGAAAGCUGGAGAACAAUGGUUUAAAAAAUUCAGUGGCAGAGCUCAAAUAUGGUACAAGAAUAUGGGGCCAAGAGAGUUGCGAGUGUGUGAUUUGGUUGCCGCUCAGCAAUGAAGAAGCAUAUCCGACAGACUGGAAUAGAAGGACAACUUGUAAGCAAGUUCACAGCCGAGAGAGCGCCAAGGGUACAUAUACUUUAGCAUUGACCACUGUUCAGUUCAAGUUUUCUGUACGAGCUGAAUUCUCAGACCACCGAUGUGAUAUUCUGCAUAGUGAUCACGUUGCAAGAAAAAAAGCUGAGAACGAAACAGUCCAGUUCACUGCUCCGUGUGUUUUGUGGCCUACGAGACGUAGGAAGCCUGUCAUUGAAGGACCGCAUGAGUGCUCGUCAGUUUUGCAGCCAUUUUUGCAGCCGAAACCCCCCUGGCAUGAGUACACUCUAGACUGCACUGUUAAAAAGCUGAAGAUUGUCGCAAAAAUACCACCUAGCACUGCCUGGUUUAUUGCCUUCCCAGCGGAGUCACUACAUUUUUGUCUGAUACUCCCUCCGUCCGAAAUGACAAAUGGAUGA
rnacentral:rRNA from 1 species